CUGUGACCCAUGGCAAGGACUGAGACCCAGUCUAGAGGGGAGGAGAGGCUUCUCACCAAGAUCUCAUUUCUCGCUCAAAAAGGUGACGGAUAUUCCAAAAGUAACCCCAACACUGUCCACACAGCCAGCACCUAGGAAAAUAUACUCCUCUCCAGAGUGAAAGGCCACUGCAUGAAGGAAAACACCACAGAGCUUUACGGAGUGAUGAAAGGUCACACUUGCACCUACAAAGAGACAAUGUUCCGUGGUGGAGAGAGGAAAAACUUGAAACUGCAAUGAAUAGUCCAGUAAAGGAAAUGAACAGGCAGUUCCCAGGAGAAGGACUACAGAUGGCUGAUAAACAUAUGAGAUGUUCAGCCCAACUCAACCUAACUAUAAUGAGGAAACUACAAAUUAAAAACACAUGAUGUGCAGUGUAUUGCUUUUGCCCGUAAGACAAGCAAGAAUGAAAAAGACUGAUAGUACCCGGUGCUAGUGAGGGUGUAAGGAAGUGAGUACUUUUAUACUCUCUUGGUCACAGAGCCUUUCUCUAAGGAAACUUGAUAGUGUCCAUUACAAUAAAAAAUGGACUUGUUCUUUCA
rnacentral:lncRNA from 1 species